AAGCUAAUGACUAUCGGCUAGUAAAAUAACUCUGACGCAGUUAUGCCCACAAACAGGCCGGCUCACCUAGCUAACUCAAAAUUGCACCAUUGUGGCUUAGAGUAGUUACUCACACACAAUAUAUUCAUAUCCGUUUUCCAUACAUUUAUUAUGCAUAUUGAAAACUGUUCGACGAGAUGAUUUUAUACCGUGUUAUUGCUAUUUUGGUGAACGCAAUCUCGGUUUGUCAUGUGACUGAAAAUUAAUAUCAAUAUACUCAGAUACAUAGAUAGCU
rnacentral:misc_RNA from 1 species